rnacentral:rRNA from 1 species
CCUCCUCAAUGCACUAACGUGCGAAGGGGUUACCUCGAGUGCUACCUGAAGAAGGUGGCUUUUCCUUGGUCUAAAAAGCCUCGGGAAUAAGAGGGGGGCAAGACUGGUGUCAGCCGCCGCGGUAACACCAGCCCCUCGAGUGGUGGGGAUGAUUAUUUGGCCUAAAGCGUCCGUAGCCGGCCGGGUAAGUUUCCCGUUAAAUCCAGCGUCUCAAGCGUUGGACUGCGGGAAAUACUGCCCGGCUAGAGAGUGGGAGAGGUGUACGGUAUUCUGGGGGUAGGGGCGAAAUCCUUUGAUCCCCGGAGGACCACCAGUGGCGAAGGCUGUACACUAGAACACGUCUGACGGUCAGGGACGAAAGCUGGGGUAGCGAACCGGAUUAGAUACCCGGG